rnacentral:rRNA from 1 species
UACGGAGGGUGCAAGCGUUAUCCGGAUUCACUGGGUUUAAAGGGUGCGUAGGUGGGUCUGUAAGUCAGUGGUGAAAUCUCCAAGCUUAACUUGGAAACUGCCAUUGAUACUAUAGGUCUUGAAUAUCCUGGAGGUGAGCGGAAUAUGUCAUGUAGCGGUGAAAUGCUUAGAUAUGACAUAGAACACCAAAUUGCGAAGGCAGCUCACUACGGGAUUAUUGACACUGAGGCACGAAAGCGUGGGGAUCAAACAGG